rnacentral:rRNA from 1 species
AACGAACGCUGGCGGCGCGUCUUAAACAUGCAAGUCGGACGGGAACCUCGGUGCUUGCAUUGAGGGGAGAGUGGCGAACGGGUGAGUAACACGUGGAUAAUCUACCUCUGGGAUGGGGAUAACUACCCGAAAGGGUAGCUAAUACCGAAUGAGAUGGUGGCUGCAUAUGCAGCAGCUAUUAAAGGUGGGGACCGCAAGGCCUACCGCCUGGAGAUGAGUCCGCGGCCCAUUAGCUUGUUGGCGGGGUAAUGGCCCACCAAGGCGACGAUGGGUAACCGGCCUGAGAGGGUGAACGGUCACACUGGGACUGAGAUACGGCCCAGACUCCUACGGGAGGCAGCAGUUAAGAAUUUUGCGCAAUGGGCGAAAGCCUGACGCAGCGACGCCGCGUGGACGAUGAAGGUCUUCGGAUUGUAAAGUCCAGUAAGCAGGGACGAAUAAGCAAGGGGUAAUAUUCCUUGUGAUGACGGUACCUGUCUAAAGCCUCGGCUAACUACGUG